AUUGAACGCUGGCGGCAUGCCUUACACAUGCAAGUCGAACGGCAGCGGGGACUUCGGUCCGCCGGCGAGUGGCGAACGGGUGAGUAAUGUAUCGGAACGUACCAUUCAGUGGGGGAUAACUAUCCGAAAGGAUAGCUAAUACCGCAUAUUCUGUGAGCAGGAAAGCAGGGGAUCGCAAGACCUUGCGCUGAUUGAGCGGCCGAUAUCAGAUCAGCUAGUUGGUGAAGUAACGGCUCACCAAGGCUACGAUCUGUAGCGGGUCUGAGAGGAUGAUCCGCCACACUGGGACUGAGACACGGCCCAGACUCCUACGGGAGGCAGCAGUGGGGAAUUUUGGACAAUGGGCGCAAGCCUGAUCCAGCCAUGCCGCGUGAGUGAAGAAGGCCUUCGGGUUGUAAAGCUCUUUCGGCCGGGAAGAAAUCGCAUCAGCUAAUACCUGGUGUGGAUGACGGUACCGGAAUAAGAAGCACCGGCUAACUACGUGCCAGCCGCCGCCGUAACAC
rnacentral:rRNA from 1 species